rnacentral:rRNA from 1 species
UGGCUUCCAUCUGGAAGAAUCUGGAGACAGGUGCUGCAUGGCUGUCGUCAGCUCGCGUCGUGAGAUGUUGGGUUAAGUCCCGCAACGAGCGCAACCCUUGCCUUUAGUUGCCAGCAGUUCGGCUGGGCACUCUAAAGGGACUGCCGGUGUUAAACCGGAGGAAGGUGGGGAUGACGUCAAGUCCUCAUGGCCUUUAUGACCAGGGCUACACACGUACUACAAUGGCCGAUACAAAGGGCAGCGACACUGCGAGGUGAAGCCAAUCCCGUAAAAUCGGUCUCAGCCCGGAUUGGAGUCUGCAACUCGACUCCAUGAAGUUGGAAUCGCUAGUAAUCGUCGGAUCCAGCCAUGCCAACGGUAGAAUAACGUUCCCGGGCCGUU